rnacentral:lncRNA from 1 species
ACAAACACUCCGAUCACUUGGAAGCAUGCACUAAGAGUGGCUUUGUUACAUCCCUGUCACCAGCUGGGGAAUCCAUUAUUAACACUGGCUUCCGGUGGUUUCCUCUCAGAGAUCUAAGAAGCCAGAGUUAAUUUCUCAUGUGAUCCUGUGAGAGGAAUGCACAAGAUGCCCAGAUAGGAUCACUCACUAAUGGAAGCUGAGCUCGUCCUCCCCUGUGCUGGUGCUUGGUGGACCACGAACUCCCAUGCUUUCUGAUUGCUGCUGCGCAUCAGAUGUCGGAGCACUGUAGCAAAAGAGGAGCAAACAGCGCUUUCACGGUUCCCACAGCUGCUGCUGCGACGAGUGGCUUUAGAAUCGCCGGAGGAUCUUUCUGUGUCAGACACACUGAAACCUCCAACACGCAACGGGCGCUUUCUUGUUGCUCCCGUGUCUCAUUCUUCAUCUGAGAGACACUACUGCUGGGCCAUUAAGCGUAUGAAUCUGAGUUCCACACCAUCUUACUUUCAG